rnacentral:lncRNA from 1 species
GUUUUAGAUAAUACUUCAGCAGGAAAAAUUUCCAACAAAAUAUUUAUUUGAAACAAAAUACAUACCUAACCAAUUUGUUAUAAAUUAAAUGGGAAAAACAAAUUACCCCCAAGGAAAAAAUCAGUUUUUCCCCCCUUUUGUCUUCUUUUUACAAUUUAAUUCUUCCCUUAUUCGACUUUCUUUUACGUUUGCACUUUUCAAACACACACCAUUAUCUUUGCAUUCACACAUUUGGUCAUUUCUGAUUGGUGGUUGGUUGAUAAAGGUUAUAUGUAUUGGAAUCAGAUAUUAUGAAUGCAACACCCUACCGUCCCUGCCAAUAAGAGAUUCUUCGAACGUAUAAGAAAUGUUUGUCAUGUGAUUAAUAUAUGUAUAUAAAUAAGACUUUGCUGAUGUAAAAUAAAAAUAUUACCGAUAUGCGAUAGAAGCCUCGUACUUACUUGACAAGACUAUAUUGUUUCUUAAAAACGGAACCGCAAAUCCAAUUCGAUUACUUUUUAUUGGCAACCAGAACAAAGUAGGUGGCAACUCUAGGAGGAAACUAAAAUUUGUAAGUUGCGUUUCCUCAUCUAAAAACAAAGAAGCUUAACCUGGAAAGUAAAUGUCAAACCAGAAAUAUGUCCGAAAGUUAUUUUUUAUUUAAAACGAUUUGUGUGGUGAAAAGUCUUCUGUCGAGUACUAGUCAACUAGCCAGCAUUUGGGAAUGUGUUUGUCGCUGGAACAACAUCUAAAGUUUAUUAAAAAAUCCCUUCAAUCGUUUAACAUAGCCAGGUAUGAACUAAUCUUAAUGCACAAAAGUUGGUACCGGCUCCCAAGCAUCAUCCCAUAGCAAGUUUCAGAAACGCCUUUAAAAUUUGCAUUCAAACAGGUGUAUGUAUAUAUGUGUGUACGUACAUUUUUGCUAAUUUGAGUUACUUUUUUUAUUACACUAAUUUUUCAUGACGAUUUCUUCUAAUAUGGUGCGAUUUUAGCAAUAUUCAUAAACUUCCCAUGGCAUUAUAUCGAAUUGUAGUCUUUAUUGAAACAUCGUUAUGUGUAAAAGAAAUACAAAUUAAAUGUUUUUCCAUUUAAGUAUUCGCAUUGAUAUUUUGGUCUUUUUUUAAUAAUUUAAUUUGUUAUUGCAUAUCUUUCACUACAUUCUACCUCAAAAUAGAUCUUUUGGUUAUUUCUUUAUCUCCUAGCAUUUUGAUGAUGAUUUAAUUUUCGUUACCGUUAUUAUUAAUGCGUUAUAUAGAAGUAAAACUUACAUACAUACAUAUAUACUAAAAAGUUUCAAGUAUUUUCCUUUGAUGAAUGUUGUUCGCUACUUUUAAAAGUACAUAUUUAUAACUAAUUAUUACUAAUUCAUAUAUUAACGCUUAUUAAACAAAAUCGAUUCGUUUUUUUUACUUAUAAAAGAGUAUGUAUCAUUAAAUACGUAUGGAAAACUAAACUUUUAAGAGCAAAUUCUAUGAAACAUUAACAUCACAAAAUUAUUAUUUUUUUUUUGUUUAUACAAAAAUAUAGAGUUUGUUGUGUUUAGCAGUGUAUUAGCGAGUGGUUGAUGAGAGCGUUAUGAGCAACCAAAGUUUUAUUAAUUUGAAAAUUUGUUAAUAUAUAAAAAUAUAAUUUAAUGCAAUUCCUUCAUAGGAUUUUUUUUCACUUAUCGCCACUAAAGUUCGUUAUAAUAGCACAGUAACGAAUUUUAAAACAAAUGUAUAACCUUUGAUGAUGAAUAUUAUAUUAUUUUAAUCGAUUUUUCUUAGCAUUAAAAGUAUCUACAUACGUUCCAGUGUUCUGAAGUUUUUUUUUAUCCAUUUCAUGUUAUUUGGCCGCUGUAUUUAUUUAUUUUUAAAAUGUCAAUAUUAUAUACCAAAGUUCGCACCGCUUUUUUACACGUCCUCGAAUCAGUACGUAUGUGGCAUGUAAAGUUUAAUUUAAAAGCUACUCAAAACGGCCUUUAACGCUUAGCUUGCACAAUUCGAGCAUAUAGAGGAUAUACCAUUAUUGAAAAAGCCUGCUAGAGGUCGUUUUCGGAAGAGACAUUGUACACAUUGUUGGAGUUCAAGAUUCGCUUCUUGGUAAUGCAUUCCUCUUAGUUGUAUGACGUCUGCAGCAAAUAAGUUAUAAUUAUCUUCAGAUGUAUGCAUUAAGCUUCUCAAUAUGGAUUAGAUAUUGCACAUUUAUCUAAAAUGUCGAACGAUUUCCAUUUGAUUUUUGACAUUGGAAUGCUUCCAACAGAUACUACAUCGAUUAGAUGGUCUUCAAAUAAUUUGGUAACAUAUUUGAAAAAA